AUGAACGCUGGCGGCGUGCCUAAUACAUGCCAGUCGAGCGAACGGACGAGAAGCUUGCUUUUCUGAUGUUAGCGGCGGACGGGUGAGUAACACGUGGAUAACCUACCUAUAAGACUGGGAUAACUUCGGGAAACCGGAGCUAAUACCGGAUAAUAUUUUGAACCGCAUGGUUCAAAAGUGAAAGACGGUCUUGCUGUCACUUAUAGAUGGAUCCGCGCUGCAUUAGCUAGUUGGUAAGGUAACGGCUUACCAAGGCAACGAUGCAUAGCCGACCUGAGAGGGUGAUCGGCCACACUGGAACUGAGACACGGUCCAGACUCCUACGGGAGGCAGCAGUAGGGAAUCUUCCGCAAUGGGCGAAAGCCUGACGGAGCAACGCCGCGUGAGUGAUGAAGGUCUUCGGAUCGUAAAACUCUGUUAUUAGGGAAGAACAUAUGUGUAAGUAACUGUGCACAUCUUGACGGUACCUAAUCAGAAAGCCACGGCUAACUACGUG
rnacentral:rRNA from 1 species